UACGGAGGAUGCGAGCGUUAUCCGGAUUUAUUGGGUUUAAAGGGUGCGUAGGCGGGCAUUUAAGCCGGCGGUCAAAUGUCGGGGCUCAACCCCGGCCGGCCGUUGAAACUGGCGUGCUCGAGUUGGAGAGAAGUAUGCGGAAUUCGUGGUGUAGCGGUGAAAUGCAUAGAUAUCACGAAGAACCCCGAUUGCGAAGGCAGCAUACCGGCUCCACACUGACGCUGAGGCACGAAAGCGUGGGUAUCGAACAGG
rnacentral:rRNA from 1 species